rnacentral:rRNA from 1 species
UACGGAGGGUGCGAGCGUUAAUCGGAAUUACCGGGCGUAAAGGGUGCGUAGGUUGUUGAUUAAGUUACAUGUAAAAACUUAGGGCUUAACCUUAGGCUGAGAUGUAAGACUGAUUGACUCGAGUAAGUGAGAGGGUAGUGGAAUUUCCGGUGUAGCGGUGAAAUGCGUAGAGAUCGGAAGGAACACCAGUUGCGAAGGCGGCUACCUGGCAUUUGACUGACACUGAGGCACGAAAGCGUGGGUAGCAAACAGG